UGUGUUAGCUGGUUCUUCCAGGCGAGACCUGGUCUGCUCUGUUGUAGCAGUCUUCUGCUUUAGGCUUCAGCCUCUCAGCAAGCCAGAGUGAGUCCUUUUUCCCGCAUGCACUCAUUCAGUCAACAAAUUCGUUAAGCACUAAUCAUUGCUGCAAUAGCUAGCAGUCUGGGAGGACUUUCUACGCCAUUUCUCAGGAGGAGGAGCGGAGUGGAGUGGUUAAGAGCAUGGAGUCUGAAGCCCGAUUGCUCGGGCUUGGAUCCUAACUAGCUGAAUGACCUUGGCCAAGUCACUAAACCUCUGUCGGCUCUGGAUAGUAGCUUCCUGUGAGGACGGAAUGAGGCAUGGCAUCCUCAGAGUCCAGCCCAGCACCCGGGAGGACAAUACAAGCUGGUAGAUGGUCAUUGUUGGAACCCUUGUCGUCAAUGUUCAGGAACUCACAAACAUGGCUGCCCUUCUGGUGGAGUUCUUCUCCUCUGCUGAGCAUUUUCUUACCUUUUCUCCAUCUUGUGUCCUCUUCUGCCCACACAUUCUGGAACUCAAGACGUCGUCCAAUGGAAAAGAAGAGGCUAUUGUUGGGCCUCUGCUGGAGCACCAUGAGGCUGUGAACGGUUACGGCGCGCACUGCUCAUCUGAAUUGGGUUUUCGUAUGCGGAAAGAGAAGAAAGAAUCCUGUCAUCAAAGUUUAUGGCUCUCUCUUGCUCUUUGAACCCUAAGGAAACUUCUGGAAUUUUCAGUGACUUUCUGAGAUCAAAUGGCCUUUUAAACAUCUUGAGCCUUUCAAAGUGCUCCCCUCAACCUGAAGCAAAGCCUGAUCAACAUCUGUAGAGACAGGCCCUUUGGGAAAAUGUCAGCCAGAAGCUUCAUGGAGGCAGACUUUGGCUUAAAGAAGUCAAGGCUGCUUUUCUGCCCUUCUUAUCUGUUGUCUGGCUUAGAUUUUGGUUCAGAACACAGGAUUCUGAGUCAGUGGGUUGGGCAAAUUUCUGAACUUCCCAUGCCUCUGUAAAAUGGAUGAACAAUGGUAUUGAAUUUAUAGGAUUAAAU
rnacentral:lncRNA from 1 species